rnacentral:rRNA from 1 species
UACGUAGGGUGCAAGCGUUAUUCGGAAUUACUGGGCGUAAAGCGUGCGUAGGCGGUUUUGCAAGUCUGGCGUGAAAUCCCCGGGCUUAACCUGGGAACUGCAUUUGUGACUGCAUAGCUAGAGUACGGUAGAGGGGGAUGGAAUUCCGCGUGUAGCAGUGAAAUGCGUAGAUAUGCGGAGGAACACCGAUGGCGAAGGCAAUCCCCUGGACCUGUACUGACGCUCAUGCACGAAAGCGUGGGGAGCAAACAGG